rnacentral:rRNA from 1 species
CAACGACUGUAACCAUGUGUAUAGUCUAGAUCUGGUUCGAUCUAGGCGACGUCGCCCCUGUGCUGGAACCCCACAAUUUUUGUGGGGGACCAGCAGCCAGUUUUCUGGUCCACAGAUUAGGUGGUGGCGGUCUCAGGCUUUGAUGCUGGGAUCAAGAUAUAAUCGGUCUCCAUAGCUAUGACUGUGGUUGAGAAACGUUCCGUAGGUGAACCUGCGGAAGGAUCAUUA